GAACUUUGUCCUAAGCCAAACUUCUCUAAUUUUGACCAAGUUAAUAGAAAAAUAUGUUAACAUCUAAAGUACCAGAUAAAUGCACUAUCAAGUUAUUUCAUGGUGGAAUGAAAUUAAUUUGAUGUUGUAUAUGUUCGUGUAUUUUUCUAUAAACUUAAUCAAAAUUAGAGAAGUUGGACUUAGGGCAAAAUUAA
rnacentral:pre_miRNA from 1 species